GUGUACAUGUCUAGCGGGCAGGUGUCAUCUGACCUUGACCUCAUUUUCAUGGUUCAGUGGUUAUAGUUAAGUUUUUAUACGACCGCAAAAAUUAAAAAUUUUUUGGUCGUAUAUUGGUAUGACGUUGGCGUCGUCGUCGGCGUCGUCCGAAGACACAUUGGUUUUCGCACUCUAACUUUAGUUUAAGUGAAUGGAUCUCCAUGAAAUUUUACCAUAAGGUUCAAUACCACGAAAGGAAGGUUGGGAUUGAUUUUGGGGGUUAUGGUACCAACAGUUAAGGAAUUAGGGGCCAAAAAGGGGCCAAAAAUAAGCAUUUUUGUAACUUCCAGACAAUAACUUGUGUGUAAGUGUAUGGAUCUCUCUGACAUUGUACCACAAGGUUCCAUAUCACAAAGGAAAGGCUGUAAUUGAUUUUGGGGGUAAUUGCCUCAAAAUUUUAGGAAUUAGGGGCCAAAAAAGGGGCAAAAAACAAGCAUUUUUCUAGUUUCAUGACAAUAACUUGUGUGUAAGUGUUUGGAUAUUUCUGAAAUUGUACUACAAGGUUCCAUAUCACAAAGGGAAAGCUGGAAUUGAGUUUGGGGGUAAUUGCCCGAAAUGUUCAGGAAUUGGGGGCCAAAAAGGGGCCAAAAAUAAGCAUUUUUCUAGUUUCCAGACAAUAACUUGUGUUCAAGUGUAUGGAUCUCUCUGAAAUUGUACUGCAAGGUACCAUACCACAAAGGGAAGGCUGGGAUUGAGUUUGGGGGUGAUGAAUCAUAAGGGGGUUCAAAAAAUUUGGGGGGGGAUUUUUUUUUCUUUCUUUUUUUUUCUUUUUUUCCUUUUUUUUUUCUUUUAAAAUUUUCCAUUUUAAGUUGGUUAUUUCUGAUUAAUAUUUAAAAGCAAAUAAUAAUGAUAUGGUAGGAGAUACACACCAAACAGGAUGUGUAAAUUAUUAUCUAAUAAGUAUUGUGCAAUAGCAAGAAAUUUUCAAUUGCACAGUAUUGCACAAUAGCUAGAAAUCUUCAAUUGCACAGUAUUGCGCAAUAGCAAGAAAUCUUCAAUUGCACAGUAUUGCGCAAUAGCAAGAAAUAUCCAAUAGCACAAUAUUGCGCAAUAGCAAGAAAUUGUCAAUUGUACAGUAUUGUGCAAUAGCAAGAAAUAUUCAAUUGCACAGUAUUGUGCAAAAGAAGAUACUUCGUAUAAAUUGCUUAUUUCUUGAUCAAUUUCAAUGGGGUUUUAUUCUUGAAUUCUUGGGGUUCUUUAAUAUGCUGAAUCUAACCGUGUAUUAAGUUUUUGGAUUUUGGGCCCCGUUUUUAAAUUGGUCCACAUUGAGGUCCAAAGGGUCCAAAAUUUAACUUUGUUUGAUUUCAUCAAAAAUUGAAUUAUUGGGGUUCUUUGAUAUGCUGAAUCUAACUGUGUAUUUAGAUUCUUAAUUUUUGGUUCCGUUUUCAAAUUGGUCUACAUUAAGGUCCAAAGGGUCCAAAAUUAAACUUAGUUUGAUUUUAACAAAAAUUGAAUUUUUAGGGUUCUUUGAUAUGCUGAAUCUAAACAUGUAUUUAGAUUUUUGAUUAUGGGCCCAGUUUUCAAGUUGGUCCAAAUCGGGGUCCAAAAUUAAACUUUGUUUGAUUUCAACAAAAAUUGAAUAUAUGGGGUUCUUUGAUAUGCUGAAUCUAACCAUAUAUUUAGAUUUUUGAUUUUUGGGCCCCGUUAUCAACUUUGUCCACAUUGAGGUCAAAAGGGUCCAAAAUUUAACUUUGUUUGAUUUCAUCAAAAAUUGAAUUAUUGGGGUUCUUUGAUAUGCCGAAUCUAACCGUGUAUUUAGAUUCUUAAUUUUUGGUUCCGUUUUCAAAUUGGUCUACAUUAAGGUCCAAAGGGUCCAAAAUUAAACUUAGUUUGAUUUUAACAAAAAUUGAAUUUUUAGGGUUCUUUGAUAUGCUGAAUCUAAACAUGUAUUUAGAUUUUUGAUUAUGGGCCCAGUUUUCAAGUUGGUCCAAAUCGGGGUCCAAAAUUAAACUUUGUUUGAUUUCAUCAAAAAUUGAAUUCUUGGGGUUCUUUGAUAUGCUGAAUCUAACCAUGUAUUUAGAUUUUGGAUAUUGGACCAUAAUAGGUGAAUGUCCAAUUUAAAAUUUUUAAGUUCUUAGGCCACAUUCAUUCUGUGUCAGAAACCUAUGCUGUGUCAAAUAUUUAAUCACAAUCCAAAUUCAGAGCUGUAUCAAGCUUGAAUGUUGUGUCCAUACUUGCCCCAACUGGUCAGGGUUCGACCUCUGCGGUCGUAUCAAGCUGCGCCCUGCGGAGCAUUUUAUUGUGUUUUGGUCUGUUUUUCUUAUACUGUAUGCCAUAGGUCUACUUUAUUUGGUGUAUGGAAUGAUUGUAAGGUGUACAUGUCUAGCGGGCAGGUGUCAUCUGACCUUGACCUCAUUUUCAUGGUUCAGUGGUUAUAGUUAAGUUUUUGUGUUUUGGUCUGUUUUUCUUAUACUGUAUGCCAUAGGUCUACUUUAUUUGGUGUAUGGAUGAUUGUAAGGUGUACAUGUCUAGCGGGCAGGUGUCAUCUGACCAUGACCUCAUUUUCAUGGUUCAGUGGUCAAAGUUAAGUUUUUUGAGUUUUGGUCUUUUUUUCUAAUACUGUAUGCAAUAGUUCAACUAUAUUUGGUGUAUGGAAAUAUUUUAUGAUCUUUUUGGCAGUCAAGCAGGUUUUAUUUGACCUUGACCUCAUUUUCAAGGUUCAUUGCUCAGUGUUAAGUUUUUGUGUUUUGGUCUGUUUUUCUUAAACUAUAAGCAAUAGGUCAACUAUAUUUGUUGUAUGGAAGAAUUGUUAGCUGUACAUGCCUGCCUAGCAUGGUUCAUCUGACCUUGACCUCAUUUUCAUGGUUCAUUGGUCAAUGUUUAGUUUACUUGGUUAAUGUUAAGUUUAUGUGACAGUUGUAAUAAAGCUUUAUAUUUAGGACUAUCAACAUAAUAUCAAUGAUUAGUAAAGAAGGCGAGACAUUUCAGCGUGU